GACGAACGCUGGCGGCGUGCUUAACACAUGCAAGUCGAGCGGUAAGGCUCCUUCGGGAGUACACGAGCGGCGAACGGGUGAGUAACACGUGAGCAAUCUGCCCUUCACUUCGGGAUAACUCCGGGAAACCGGUGCUAAUACCGAAUACGACCACUUCAGGCAUCUGAUGGUGGUGGAAAGUUCCGGCGGUGAAGGAUGAGCUCGCGGCCUAUCAGCUUGUUGGGGGGGUAACGGCCCACCAAGGCAACGACGGGUAGCCGGCCGGAGAGGUUGACCGGCAACACUGGGACUGAGACACGGCCCAGACUCCUACGGGAGGCAGCAGUGGGGAAUAUUGGACAAUGGGCGAAAGCCUGAUCCAGCAACGCCGCGUGAGGGAUGACUGCCUUCGGGUUGUAAACCUCUUUCAGCAGGGACGAAGCGCAAGUGACGGUACCUGCAGAAGAAGCACCGGCCAACUACGUGCCAGCAGCCGCCGUAA
rnacentral:rRNA from 1 species